UAUACAGUUUGAAAUGCACACAUUAGCAACGGCUGAAAUCAUCACACUAAUAAGCAUCCACCUGAAGAAGUUACAAGAAGAAUAGCAAAAUACACCUUAGAAAACAAACAGAAGGAACAAAAAAGCAGAAUUCAUCACAUAGAAAACGAACCAUGCAACAGCAUCAGACCCAAAAUUUCUUUGACAAGUCAAAACGAGCAAGUUUAAGAAAAAGAGAUGACAUGAAUAACCUAUACUGGGAAAGAAAAGUGGUGCAGAACUGGAUUCUAGAGACACUGAAGGUUACUUACCACUACAGAAUGCUUCUGGCAUUUUUGGAAAAGAAAGGAUUCAAAAAGGAUCAAGAAAGGGAGAAAUAAAUUAAACAGCAGCAACCAGCUUCAAAGUAAAGUCUUAUCACACAGCACAUCUUUUCAAGGUAGCAGGACCGGAAGACUAUUCAAUGAGACUGGCAAAGAUUAAAACCCAGGACAGCAUUCUGAUGGCAAGACUGUGGGGAAAGAUGCACCCUCCUACUCUGCUGGCAGAGCUGCAAAAUGGUCCAGCCAUUCGGGAGGGAAAUCCGGCAAUCUUAACAAACAACAUAUGCACUUACCUUUCGACCAAGUAAUCCCACUUCUGCUAAUCUAACCUGAA